AUUGAACGCCGGCGGAAUGCUUUACACAUGCAAGUCGAACGGCAGCAUAGGUGCUUGCACCUGAUGGCGAGUGGCGAACGGGUGAGUAAUACAUCGGAACGUGCCCAGUCGUGGGGGAUAACGUAGCGAAAGUUACGCUAAUACCGCAUACGAUCUAAGGAUGAAAGCGGGGGACCGUAAGGCCUCGCGCGAUUGGAGCGGCCGAUGUCAGAUUAGGUAGUUGGUGAGGUAAAGGCUCACCAAGCCGACGAUCUGUAGCUGGUCUGAGAGGACAACCAGCCACACUGGGGCUGAGACACGGCCCAGACUCCUACGGGAGGCAGCAGUGGGGAAUUUUGGACAAUGGACGCAAGUCUGAUCCAGCCAUUCCGCGUGCAGGACGAAGGCCUUCGGGUUGUAAACUGCUUUUGUACGGAACGAAAAAGCUCUUACUAAUACUAGGAGUCCAUGACGGUACCGUAAGAAUAAGCACCGGCCAACUACGUGCCAGCCGCCGCGGUAA
rnacentral:rRNA from 1 species